GUCAAGCUCAAGGGCCCUUGUUUCUGAUGUGGAUUCUCAGAAUUUGUUUCUCUCUUUCGCAUUGUUACUUUCAUUGUCUGCUGCAAUCUGUACCUUUGUCAGUGUCCCUUCUGUUUACACAUACCACCCACCCCACCCCCUAAUUUAUGCACCGUCCCUUGCUUGAUACAGAGAUAUUUCAUAUUCUCACUUAUUCAGUUCAGUCCCAUUGAAAAGAGAGAGAAAAAAAAUAAAAUUUGAAAAGUCAUAACUUCAUAUCUCACUCGAUCUGGGUCUGGUUGCUUCUGGUAGUGGUGGUUUCUGCAGGACAAGCACUUGGGCUUUUAUUAUAGUUUCUAGUUUUCUUGCUUUGGUUAGGCAUGCAUGACUUCAUGGUGACAUGAUAUUCUUUCAUGACCAUAAUGAAUUCACUUAAUUCUUAUCUUCUCUGCACCACUACUUCAUUAGUUAUUAUCAUCAUGGUUCUAUAUAAUAAUCUCUCUCCAGUCUCUUGCUCUAAUCAGCAACAACAGCCUCCAAGUUCUAAUAGGGGCUUGUUAUUUGAGGAGAAAAACAGGCUGGGUUCGACCCCUCCGAGCUGCCACAACAAGUGUAAAAAGUGCCAUCCAUGCAUGGCGGUCCAAGUGCCUACCAUGCCAAGCAGACUCCCGGUCCAACCAGGUUUGACUCGUUUGGCUCGAACCACUCCCAUGGAGAUCUUUGAUCCAUCACCUCGAACCAAUUACAAGCCCUUGGGUUGGAAAUGCAGCUGCCAAAACCACCUUUUCAACCCCUAGCUAGACAAAUGAAGUCGCAAAGCCAAAGUUUAAUGGUGUUAGGUUUAAUUGUAACAUGUCAUUGAUCCUCAUCUUUUUGGGUUUUUCUUAUGAAUUUUUCAUUUUGUUUAGAGGAUCCCCGAAAUUCCAUUUAUUUAGAAAUUAAUAGGCUAGCUACGUCAAUAUGGUGUCAGCAUUAAUUGUAUACACUGAAAUUUUAUACAUUGUAAUUUGUACAGAAAUCGCUACAGACCUUAAUCUGACUAAGUAUUGUACGCUUUAAUUUGUUU